ACAUCCAGAGAACUUGGCAGAGAUGCCUUUGGUGCCUUCGGGACCUCUGAGACAGGUGCUGCAUGGCUGUCGUCAGCUCGUGUUGUGAAAUGUUGGGUUAAGUCCCGNAACGAGCGCAACCCUAUCCUUUGUUGCCAGCGAUUCGGUCGGGAACUCAAAGGAGACUGCCGGUGAUAAACCGGAGGAAGGUGGGGAUGACGUCAAGUCAUCAUGGCCCUUACGAGUAGGGCUACACACGUGCUACAAUGGCGCAUACAAAGAGAAGCGACCUCGCGAGAGCAAGCGGACCUCAUAAAGUGCGUCGUAGUCCGGAUCGGAGUCUGCAACUCGACUCCGUGAAGUCGGAAUCGCUAGUAAUCGUAGAUCAGAAUGCUACGGUGAAUACGUUCCCGGGCCUUGUACACACCGCCCGUCACACCAUGGGAGUGGGUUGCAAAAGAAGUAGAUAGCUUAACCUUCGGGAGGGCGUUUACCACUUUGUGAUUCAUGACUGGGGUGAAGUCGUAACAAGGUAGGCGUAGCGAG
rnacentral:rRNA from 1 species